rnacentral:lncRNA from 1 species
GAGAUGGACUGCAGAAUUGUAUCAGAACCAAGAUGCCCAGUUUUGGGAGCCAUGAGGAAGGCCGUACAAUGGUCCUGCUCUCCAGAGCUUGGGGGACAGGCCUCCACCUCAGUUUUGAGGACAACCAAGAAGUGGUAGUUAAGUUCAAUCUCCUACAGAGAAUAAACUCUGGGUAGCAGACGGGUGCUUGGGUCCUACAUACCAAUUUCGUCAAGGAACCAGGUCUCCUAUGUAAGUGCACCCACUGGCGGCUCAGUCGGAAGGAGUUGAGUACCCUGAAGAAAGAGGAAGUGAACAGAGGCAAUUGCAUGGUGGUGGUCUUUCUCACAUUUAUCAGGCUCUAAAACUGUCCUGGAAAAUACCAUUACAGUAUUGGAGCCAGAGAUGUUGAUUAAAUAGCCCAAAAUCACACAGCUACCAAGAGGCAAAGCUGGAGUUUGAACUCAGUCUGCCUAAUUCUAGUGCACUAGCAUCUGCCACUCAUGACCAUGGCGUUAAACAGCAUCUAUGUGCUAAGCUAGUCAGUGGGACCCUCUAACAAAAGCUGUCAAAGUUCCUUUACAAGACCGGAGGCCACGGCUGGGUGAGCCUUGGGUUGAACCUUGAGCUGUCAGCAUUCUUUCCAGGCCCUCCCAGGCACUGACUCAUAGACCCAAGCUAUACCUGAGUCUGCCAAAUUGCAAGGCGUGCUUCACACUGUAGUUAAACAAACACAGGAGGAGGGUGCUCUAGACGCUGUGCAUAAUGAUGCACACCUGUCACCCCAGCUACUUGGGAGGCUGAGGCGGGAGGAUGGCAAGUUUGAGGCUAGCCUGGGAAAGCUGGCAAGACCUAAAGGGAGGGGGCAGGGGAUGCCAGUCAGUGGUAAAGCACCCUUGGAUUUAAUCCCCAGUCCCGAAAAAAAAAACGGCUCUGAAGUUUUAAAAAGCUGCACAAUGUAAUAGGAAUUCAAAUCAACGAGGAAUAAGAGAAAUGUGUUCUUGCGUUUGACCUUCACUUUUCCUUCUCCGACACCCAUCACCGCUCUAUGCAGAUUCAGGUUUGCAGCUUGUAGGUUCUCUUUCUGCUCAGAGGGCUUUGGGAGUUCCUGCAGGGCGCGGCUGCCGGCAAUGCGUUCCCUUCCUUAAUUUCGCCAAGAAAAAUCUUCAUUUGUCCUUCACUUUUUAAAAGUUAAACUUUCAUUUUGAGACAGUGGUGAAUUCACAGGCAGCUGUAAGAAAUAAAUCAGAAAAUCGCAUGUGCCUUUUCCUUGUCCCUCCCCAAGGUGACAUCUUGCAGAGCAAUAGUGUAAUACCACACGCUGAGGGGUGACGGUAAUAUGCACUAGUGCCCGCGGUGUGCGUGUGCCUGUGGUGUGUGUGUGUGCGUGUGCGUGUGUGUGUGUGUGUGCAUGCAUUUGUCUGCGGGCUGUUCUCUUGGGUCUUGAGAUUCCUGCAUCCUAAGCCACCGUUGCUGGGGCUCUCCUCCCACCCGGGGGGUUGUUGCCUUUACAGCCAUUUCCUCCCAUCCUCUCCUGUCUUUAACCCUCGGCAUUCAGCAAUCUGCUCUCCAUUGUUACCAUGUUGUCAUUUCAGGGACGUUACACCCCUGUAAACUCAGGGAGCACCCAUUACACAGGGUUAGCUAAUGGGUUGGAGGGCGAGGGGACGGGGACGGAGCCUCUAUUCCUGACAUCCUGGAUUAGACCUGGGGAUCUGGGCCCCACCAGGAGUAACAAGUGGGGACUAGGAUUUGGGGACUAAGGUCUUUCAUGGAAAGUCACAGGACUCGAAUCACCCCAAACACUGUGUCUCUGGGAAGAGGCCCCCUGAGUUCCAGCUUGCAGAUGGAUUUGCAAGGGUUUGGGUUUUGUGUAAACCGUUCAUAGCAUCCGAGUGAUGUUCGUUUAUUGUAAAAAACAAACAUACAAACAAAGCAGGAUGAAAAAGAAAUCUAUUACUUAUAAAUUUAUUAUAAAAAAGAAAUUAUUACCUAUAAAUUUUUACUAUGUGCCUAUUUCUUAUAAAAAAUGUUGUCAUACUGCACGUUCUGUUUUGAAUCUUCUAGGCUUUUAUUGGGUAAUCGUAUAAGGCAGAGCCUUCCGAGGUUCUAGAAGCUGAGACGGCCCUGGCUAACAACCAGCCAAGAGACAACCACAGAGAACCAAAUUCUAAACACUUGAACAAACUUGUGAGCAGGUUCUUCCCUGGAGCCUCCAAACUAGAGCUGAGAACUUGGGCCUUCCUUGUGAGACCCCGGGCAGAACCCCCUGGGGUCCACCUGGAUUUAUGCCUUGUACAACUGGGAGGUGAUAGAUGAGUGGGUGUUUUGUUAACAUUUGGGGUUUUAGCUGGUAAGUUUGUAGCAAACAGAAUAAAACUAUUUUUUUUUGUUUGUAGCAAACAGAAUAAAACCAUUUUUCACACCAAAGAA